CAGGUCUCACUUGGGAUAGGAGAUGUUCGAGGCAGCUGGGCCUGUCUCUCAGCAGAGAGUGGGGAGAUGAAGAGUGGGGAGGGGAGCAGCUACUCUAUGAAUAUUUAUCCAGUCGAUAUAUUUAUUGUGAGUGAUUUGUUGGGUCCAUUUUAUAGAACAGGAACACUGAGGCUCUGAGAGGGCUGGUAAUUUGGAGUGGAGAAGGCCCACCUGUCUGGGGAGACUUGAUGAGCAAAAGCUUUGGCGUGGGGCAGGGAGGAAGCCAAGGAGGGGUAGGAGGGUGCGGCGGGCCUGCGUGGGUGGCACCGUCCCCUGGAAGCCUCCCCUGACCUGUGGGCUGCUCAGAGGCCUGCUCUGGGCUUGCAUGGCCCGGGCUUUCCUGUCACAGGGCUGCCCCCCUGGUUUGGCGGGCCUGUUGAGGCACCGUCUCCCCAGCAGCCUGGCAGCAUCCCGGUGCUGGACUGUGAGCCCUAGACACAGGGCCUGGCACGCGCGUAGUGUAAGCGACAGCUGUGUCGAGUGAAUGAGUGAGGAGCGGCUGAUUAAGUGGGCUCUAGGCUCCCGGUGGCUUUGCUCCUAGACCACCACAGGCAAAGACCUGGCAAGUGGGGUCGCUGAGAGCAGGAGGGCUGGAGCAGCAAGGAGAGGCGUGGGCCCAGGCACGGACGCAGAGACCGAGGGGAGUGUUGGGCACGGGAGCCAACUUGAAGGCAGAUGACAAACGCCCUGCUCUCGCCGGCUCUGCAAAGCAGCGGGGCGGACUCGACAGGCACGCACCCCUCCCUCCUCACACGCCCUUCUGGCCCCCAACGAGAGGCUCCCAGGGGACACUUACAGGCCUUGAUUGUGCUGUCUGUAAAAUGGAGAUGCUCCCGUGUGCCUUGCACAGCUACUCUGGGGAUUAAAAUGUGACAAGGAAGAAGGCACGUCUCUUGAUCGCCACACAUGGAGGGCACCCAGGAAAUAUGGGACUUGAAAUCCCAGCGCCUGAGAGAGUGACUUCUGCCCCAGCACCUGCCACAAGGGUCACACCUAACCAUAACACAGUGCUCCGUCCUGGGCCUUCCCACUCUGGCCAAAGCUGCCUCCAGGAACUGAGUCUGAAGCUUGCAAAUCCUAGGCCUGAUGUCACAGCCAUGAAUUAUAAUAAUAAUAUCAGACCUCACAUUAUUUACUUAUUAUAGUGCCUCUGGCCCCUUACAAACUGUG